rnacentral:siRNA from 1 species
CCAAAUGGGUUGUCCAAUGGGCA